rnacentral:rRNA from 1 species
UACGUAGGUGGCGAGCGUUGUCCGGAAUUAUUGGGCGUGAAGCGCGCGCAGGUGGAAUCUUAAGUCUGUUUUGAAAGUUCGGAGCUUAACUCCGUGAUGGGAUGGAAACUGGGAUUCUUGAGUACCGGAGAGGAAAGCGGAAUUCCCCGUGUAGCGGUGAAAUGCGUAGAUAUGGGGAGGAACACCAGUGGCGAAGGCGGCUUUCUGGACGGUGUCUGACACUGAGGCGCGAAAGCCAGGGGAGCGAACGGGAUUAGAGACCCCGGUAGUCCUGGCCGUAAACGAUGGGUACUAGGUGUGGGGGGUGUCAACUCCUCCCGUGCCGGCGCUAACGCAAUAAGUACCCCGCCUGGGGAGUACGGCCGCAAGGUUGAA